rnacentral:rRNA from 1 species
UACGGAGGGUGCAAGCGUUAUCCGGAUUCACUGGGUUUAAAGGGUGCGUAGGCGGACAGGAAAGUCCGUGGUGAAAUCCUGCAGCUUAACUGCAGAACUGCCGUGGAUACUCUCUGUCUUGAAUAUCGUGGAGGUGAGCGGAAUAUGUCAUGUAGCGGUGAAAUGCAUAGAUAUUGUCAAGAACACCAAUUGCGAAGGCAGCUUACUAAAGUAUAACUGACGCUGAGGCACGAAAGUGCGGGGAUCAAACAGG